UACGAAGGGGCUAGCGUUGUUCGGAAUCACUGGGCGUAAAGGGCGCGUAGGCGGCUUUAUAAGUCGGGGGUGAAAGCCUGUGGCUCAACCACAGAAUUGCCCUUCGAUACUGUAGAGCUUGAGACCGGAAGAGGUAAGUGGAACUGCGAGUGUAGAGGUGAAAUUCGUAGAUAUUCGCAAGAACACCAGUGGCGAAGGCGGCUCACUGGCCCGGUACUGACGCUGAGGUGCGAAAGCGUGGGGAGCAAACAGG
rnacentral:rRNA from 1 species